rnacentral:tRNA from 1 species
GGCCUCAUCGUCUAGUGGUUAGGACGUCAGCUUUUCAAGCUGAAAACCGGGGUUCGAUCCCCCGUGGGGCUG